GACGAACGCUGGCGGCGUGCUUAACACAUGCAAGUCGAACGGAAAGGCCCUGCUUUUGUGGGGUGCUCGAGUGGCGAACGGGUGAGUAACACGUGAGUAACCUGCCCUUGACUUUGGGAUAACUUCAGGAAACUGGGGCUAAUACCGGAUAGGAGCUCCUGCUGCAUGGUGGGGGUUGGAAAGUUUCGGCGGUUGGGGAUGGACUCGCGGCUUAUCAGCUUGUUGGUGGGGUAGUGGCUUACCAAGGCUUUGACGGGUAGCCGGCCUGAGAGGGUGACCGGCCACAUUGGGACUGAGAUACGGCGCAGACUCCUACGGGAGGCAGCAGGGGGGAAUAUUGCACAAUGGGCGGAAGCCUGAUGCAGCAACGCCGCGUGCGGGAUGACGGCCUUCGGGUUGUAAACCGCUUUCGCCUGUGACGAAGCGUGGGUGACGGUAAUGGGUAAAAAAGCACCGGCUAACUACGUG
rnacentral:rRNA from 1 species